GAUUUCCAACUGCUGAGCUGCCCUUGCCAUUACAUACUUAGGGCUGCAUCCACAUCCUACACACACUCUACGCUUCACUCCUGCCUCGGAUUUCACCUGCGUCUCCCGCCUCUCCACCCUCAUUCGCAAUCCACUGAGCCCGCCCCCUGCAAGGCAGGCUCCCCAUAGGCUCCGUACACAGCCCUCACAGUCCCCAUUGGUCCGUUUCUUUUCUCCUAUCCCUACUCGCCUGCUAGAGUUCUCCACAAUCCCGUCUAAUUCUGUAAAACACUGCCCUUCCCAUCUCCCCAUUGUUCAGUCCGGUUCCACUCAGGCUCGCUCCAUCCCUGGAGAGCGGUGCUCAGCCUCUUGCUUGUGUGUCGUCUGCCUCCUAAGUACCCCUGGGAUGGUGGGAGUGUUCCUCCAGCGAUGAACUCAUCUUGAUGCUGCGGAAGUUCCUGCUGCAGCUGUGAAAAGGGUGGCCUGGCUUGGGGACGGCAUAAGAAAAAGACCCACCUGAAUUACAGAGUCAGCCACAUGUGAUGGUACUGCCAUAAUAGUUGUCUGGGAGGCACAGAGCAGCACCAGACUCCCCGCAAACUUAUGGAUUCUGCUGGGACAAGGGCUGAAUCUCCACUGGUCUCCUCAGCUGAUUCUCUGCCCACUCCUUUGGCUGCUUUCCAGAAAUUUGUGCUCUCACGCAUCUCAUCUCCUGUUCCCUUUGUCCACACGGUGUCAAAAGGAAAUAGAACUCAUAGGCACCAAGUUCAUUGUCUGGAACGUAGUGGGUGCUCAGCAGACGAUGGCUCCUUCGCCUUCCGAUUACUGUUGUAGACCUGUGUCCCAAACAGUGAGCUCCGAGGCCCCUGUCACUGGGUUGGACUCUUCCGAUGCCUGUUCUCCCUGACGUGCCUCUGACAUCCUGAUGUGGGCCAAGGCCAAGAGUGACAGCAUCCCUGCCCGGUUCUGCUCCCAUUCAUCAGGGCCAGUCUGGUUCUCAGUUGGCAAAUGGAAAUUCCUACCUACAUAAGGCUGCUCCACCAAGUCCCAGCAGUAACACGGGGCGAAGCAGAGACUGAGCACAGAAUGACGCCCUGAAUUCUCUGAUUUCACAGAGAAAUUGCAGGUUACAAAAAGCAUUCAUGCAUAUAUGUACAUUCAUGUAUGACUGAAAAAUUGUGCUCUGCACCGGAAAUUGACACAACAUUGUAAACUGACUUUAACUCAAUAAAAUAAAAAAAUUUUUAAAGCAUUCACGCAGAUACAUGAUUUUCAAUGAAUUUCUUUAACUUUCUAAAGAAUUACUUCACACCUACAAAAAAAUCACAAGAAUACUACAGAAAAAUCCAAUAUAAUCUUUAUCCACACUCACCAGUUUUUGGCUUUUUGCCCCAGUUGCCUUAUUUUUCUCUCUCAAUCUCUAGAUUGUUUUCUUUAACUAUUUGAGAGUCAAGUUGCAGACAUUGUGACCCUUCAGUGUGAAUGAAACUUCAGUGUGAAUCUCUUUAGAAUGAAAGCAUUCACUUGUAUGACCAGAGUACCGCUUUGAAAAAUCAAAGAAAAAUGUUAAGCUUUAUUGAAGUUACAAUUCACAUACCAUACAAUUCACUUGUUAUAUGUGUACAUACAGUUGAAUGAUGAUUGAUGAAUUUCUGCAGCUAUCAUCACGAAUCAGUGUAGAACACUUCCAUCACCCCAAGUAGUUGCCGCAUGCUCGUUUGUAGUCUUCAUGGUGUUCCCAGACGCAGGCUCCCACUGAUCUGUUUGCUUUCCGUUGCUAUGGAGUUACCUCUUCUAUGAGUUUCAUGUAAAUGGAAUCGUACUACAUCAUAUACAUAUACACGUACACACACACACACACAAGAGUUGAUCCUUGAAGAAAACAUGGUUGAACUGUGCAUGUCCAUUUAUAUAGAGUUUUUUCAAUAGUAAAUACUACAGUACUACAUGAUCCACAGUUGAUUGAAUCCGAUGUGCAGAACCAAGGGGAAUGAGGAACUGUGGAUACAGAGGGCUAACUAUAAGUUAUGCUCAGAUGCCCCUAACCCCCUAACCCCCACAUUGUUCAAGGGUCAACUGUAUGUAUACUCUUGAGUCUGGCUUCUUUCACCUAGAAAAGUAUUUUUGAGGUUCAUUUGUGGUGUUACAUAAGUAGUUCUUUCCUUUUUGUUGCUGAGUAAGUAAUAUUUCAUUGUAUGAAUAUACCAUAUUACUCGUUCACCAGUAGAUGGACAUUUGGAAUGUUUCCAAUUUUGGCUAUUAUGAGUAAUGCUGCUAUGAACUGUCACAUAAAGGUCUUUGUGUGGAUAUGUGUUUUAUUUCUCUUGGGCAAAUGGGUAGGAGUGGACUUGCUUGAUAGUAUGAUAAGUGUAUGUUUAAUUUUUUGAGAAAAUGGCAAAUUGUUUUCCAAAGUGGCUGCACCAUUUUACGUGCCCACCAUCACUUAUGAGAGUUCCAGUUGCUCUAUAUCCUUCACAACAUUUGCUAUGGUCAGUCAUUUUAAUUGUAGCAUAUAAAAUGUUAUCUUGAUUGUGAUUUAAUUUUUUUAAUAUUUUUUAUUGAAGUACAGUCAGUUUACAAUGUGUCAAUUUCUGGUGUACAGCACAAUACUUCAGUCACAUAGGAACAUACAUUCAUUCGUUCUCAUAUUCUUCACCGUAAGUUACUAUGAGAUAUUGAAUAUGGUUCCCUGUGCUAUAUAGUAUUAACUUGUUGUUUAUCUAUUUUAUAUAUAUUAGUUAGUAUUUGCAAAUCUCGAACUCCCAAUUUAUCCCUUCCCACCCCCUUCCCACCCUGGUAACCAUAAGUUUGUUUUCUAUGUCUGUGAGUCUGUAUCUGUUUUGUAAAUAAGUUCAUUUGUCAUUUUUUUUUUUUUGGAUUCCUUUUCUCCACACCCUCUCUGACAUUUAUCAUUUGUAGACUUUUGAAUGAUGGCCAUUCCAGCUGGGGUGAGGCGAUAAACGAGCUCUAUUUAAUUAGCUUGAAGGAAAAUAAGCUUUACUAUCAAUUGUGUAUUUAUAUAAAACUAAAACUUAACUUUCUUUAAUCUGCUAGGAUAACUUUGUCUUGGACUAUUGGUCUGUUCUUGUUAAGACUGAAUGGUUUUUCCCCACCUUUUAAGAAAUCUGCCUAGAAAACGAAGAUUCUGGGUUUUAUCAAAAUAACUUCCUGUGCUUUAUGUUGUGUUUUUCUGGUCUGUGAUUACUUAAGAAAACUGAAUCGUCUCUUCUUAAAGAGCUAAGUGUUUUGAGUUUUUUUUAAACAACUACAUAAUUUUCUGUAUUUGCCUUUGAAGUCUUUAGUUGUUACUUUGGUUAAAUGAAUAAGUAUCAUUUCACAGUGAUCUGUAAUUCUACUUAAAUUGUUUUUAAGCCUUUCGAUAUUUUGUGUAAGUUUCCCAAGAAUCAAAUUCUAAAUAAAGUCUU